CGGGAAACCGGAGCUAAUACCGGAUAAUAUAUCGAACCGCAUGGUUCGAUAGUGAAAGAUGGUUUUACUAUCACUUAUAGAUGGACCCGCGCCGUAUUAGCUAGUUGGUAAGGUAACGGCUUACCAAGGCGACGAUACGUAGCCGACCUGAGAGGGUGAUCGGCCACACUGGAACUGAGACACGGUCCAG
rnacentral:rRNA from 1 species